ACGCCUACGGGAGGCAGCAGUGGGGAAUAUUGCACAAUGGGGGAAACCCUGAUGCAGCGACGCCGCGUGAAGGACGAAGUAUUUCGGUACGUAAACUUCUAUCAGCAGGGAAGAAAAUGACGGUACCUGACCAAGAAGCCCCGGCUAACUACGUGCCAGCAGCCGCGGUAAUACGUAGGGGGCAAGCGUUAUCCGGAUUUACUGGGUGUAAAGGGUGCGUAGGCGGAAGGUUAAGUCAGCGGUCAAAUGUCGGUGCUCAACACCGGCCUGCCGUUGAAACUGGUCUUCUUGAGUGAGCGAGAAGG
rnacentral:rRNA from 1 species